GAUGAACGCUGGCGGCAGGCUUAAUACAUGCAAGUCGAACGGUAACAUGUUGUAGCAAUACAAUGAUGACGAGUGGCGCACGGGUGCGUAACGCGUAUGCAACCUACCUAUAACCGGAACAAAACGUCGAGAAAUUGGCGCUAAUAUUCCAUGUGUAUUUACAAUGGCAUCAUAAUAAAUAUAAAGAAUUUUGGUUAUAGAUGGGCAUGCGUAUCAUUAGCUAGUUGGCGGGGUAACGGCUCACCAAGGCGACGAUGAUUAGGGGUUCUGAGAGGAAAAACCCCCACACUGGAACUGAGACACGGUCCAGACUCCUACGGGAGGCAGCAGUAGGGAAUAUUGGGCAAUGGAAGGAAUUCUGACCCAGCCAUGCCGCGUGCAGGAAUACAGUCCUAUGGACUUUAAACUGCUUUUAUUAUAGAGUAAUCUGGGGACGAGUCCCCCACUGCAAGUAUAUAAUGAAUAAGCAUCGGCUAACUCCGUGCC
rnacentral:rRNA from 1 species